rnacentral:rRNA from 1 species
GACGAACGCUGGCGGCGUGCUUAACACAUGCAAGUCGAGCGGAAAGGCCACUUCGGUGGUACUCGAGCGGCGAACGGGUGAGUAACACGUGAGUAAUCUGCCCCUGGCUUUGGGUUAGCCACCGGAAACGGUGAUUAAUACCGGAUACGACCACUUCUCGCAUGGGAUGGUGGUGGAAAGUUUUUCGGCCAGGGAUGUGCUCGCGGCCUAUCAGCUUGAUGGUGAGGUAAUGGCUCACCAUGGCUUCGACGGGUAGCCGGCCUGAGAGGGUGACCGGUCACACUGGGACUGAGACACGGCCCAGACUCCUACGGGAGACAGCAGUGGGGAAUAUUGGACAAUGGGCGGAAGCCUGAUCCAGCAACGCCGCGUGGGGGAUGACGGCCUUCGGGUUGUAAACCUCUUUCAGCAGGGACGAAGCGCAAGUGACGGUACCUGCAGAAGAAGCACCGGCCAACUACGUGCCAGCAGCCGCCGUAAAAC